rnacentral:piRNA from 1 species
UGAACCAAGAGAGGGUUAUGAGCCUA